ensembl:misc_RNA Metazoa_SRP Metazoan signal recognition particle RNA
GCUGGGUGCAGUGACAUGUGCCUGUAAUCUCAGCUACUUGGGAGGCUGAGGUGGGAGGAUCGCUUGAGCCCAGGAGUUCUGGGCUGUAGUGCCUAUGCUGAUCAGGUGUCCACACUAAGUUCGGCAUCAAUAUGGUGACCUCCCGGGAGCAGGGGACUACCAUGAUGCCUAAGGAGGGGUGAACCGGCCCAGGUCAGAAAUGGAGCAGGUCAAAACUCCCGUGCUGAUCAGCAGUGGGAUCACGCCUGUGAAUAGCCACUGCGCUCCAGCCUGGGCAACAUAGUAAGACCCCGUCUCAA